rnacentral:rRNA from 1 species
GUAGGUGGCGAGCGUUGUCCGGAUUUACUGGGCGUAAAGAGCGCGCAGGCGGUCGUUCAAGUCGCGUGUGAAAGCCCCCGGCUCAACUGGGGAGGGUCACGCGAUACUGAUCGACUCGAAGGCAGGAGAGGGAAGUGGAAUUCCCGGUGUAGUGGUGAAAUGCGUAGAUAUCGGGAGGAACACCAGUGGCGAAGGCGACUUCCUGGCCUGUUCUUGACGCUGAGGCGCGAAAGCUAGGGGAGCAAACGGGAUUAGAUACCCCGGUAGUCCUAGCCGUAAACGAUGGACACUAGGUGUUGGUGGUAUCAACCCCGCCAGUGCCGAAGCUAACGCAUUAAGUGUCCCGCCUGGGGAGUACGGCCGCAAGGSUA